rnacentral:rRNA from 1 species
AUGCAAGAGAAGAAAGUUGUGGCCUAUACCUCUCGUCAGUUGAAGCCCAAUGAGAAGAACUACGCCACUCACGAUCUUGAGUUGGCGGCAGUUGUCCAUGCAUUAAUAACGUGGAGACAUCUCUUAGUGGGAAGACAAGUGGACAUAUUCACCGAUCACAAGAGUCUCAAGUACAUCUUCACUCAGCCCAACCUCAACCUCAGGCAGACUCGAUGGGUCGAAACGAUUCAAGAGUACAAUCCGAGUAUUGAAUAUACUCCAAGCAAGGCCAAUGUCAUUGCAGAUGCUUUAAGCAGGAAGGCUUAUUGCAACAGCUUAAUUCUCAAGCCAUUCCAACCGGAUCUUUGUGAAGCUUUCCGCAAGCUGAAUCUUCAAGUUGUUCCUCAAGGCUUUCUUGCCAACCUCAUAGUCUCUCCUACUUUGGAAGAUCAAAUUCUUGAGGCACAACUUCUUGAUGCCAUGGUGAAGAAGGUGAAACGUGGUAUCGACAAGGGUCUUCCCAAAUACAAGUGCUAUCGCAUUGAUGACAGAGACACUUUGUUCUUCGAGGACCUGAUUGUGGUUCCUAAAGGUGAUCUAAGGAAAGUCAUUAUGAACGAGGCACACAAUUCUCUCCUUUCCAUUCAUCCUGGAAGUACGAAGAUGUACCAUGACCUCAAGCAGUCGUAUUUGUGGACUCGAAUGAAGCGAGAAAUUGCUCAAUUCGUGAAUGAUUGUGAUGUCUGUCGAAGAGUGAAAGCAGAACACCAACGACCAGCUGGUCUCCUUCAACCUCUUGCUAUCCCAGAAUGGAAGUUUGAUCAUAUCGAAAUGGACUUCGUGACUGGAUUUCCAAAGUCCAAGCGCGGAAAUGAUGCUAUCUUCGUUGUCAUCGACAAGCUUUCUAAAGUGGCUCAUUUCCUUCCAAUCAAAGACUCUAUCACAGCAGCUCAGUUGGCAGAGCUAUACACCUCCAGGAUUGUCUCCUUGCACGACAUUCCACAAUUGAUAUCUUCAGAUCGUGGAAGCAUCUUCACCUCUAAGUUCUGGGACUCCUUCCAGAAGGCCAUGGGCACAAACAUUCGUUUCAGCACAGCUUUCCAUCCUCAAACUAGUGGCCAAGUCGAGCGAGUCAAUCAAAUUCUUGAAGAUAUGCUCAGGGCUUGUGUCAUUUCCUUUGGCAUGAAAUGGGAAGAUUGUCUUCCAUAUGCCGAAUUCUCCUGCAACAACAGCUUCCAAGCGAGUUCGGGCAAGGCCCCAUUCGAGAUUCUUUAUGGCAGAAAGUGCCGUACUCCUCUCAAUUGGUCAGAGACUGGUGAAAGCCAACUUCUUGGCAAUGACUUAAUCACUGAAGCUGAAGAAAUGUGUAAAGUCAUCCGUGAUAAUCUCAAAGCCACGCAAUCGCGCCAGAAGAGUUACUAUGAUAGUAAGCACCGUGAUGUGGCUUUCGAGAUCGGAGACCAUGUCUACCUCCGCGUCUCUCCAUUGAAAGGCACUCGUCUCUUCGGUAUCAAAGGGAAGCUUGCCCCUAGAUACGUGGGUCCUUUCAAGAUCAUUGGCAAAAGAGGCGACCUCGCCUAUCAACUUGAGCUUCCUUCCAACUUCGCGAACGUGCAUGAUGUGUUCCAUGUGUCACAGCUCCGCAAGUGCUUCAAGACGCAUGAGCGCACUAUCAACUUCGAAGAGAUUGACCUCCAAGAAGAUCUGUCUUAUCAUGAGCACCCCGUUGCUACUCUUGAAGAAACUGAGCGCAAGACUCGUAACAAGUCAAUCAAAUUCCUGAAAGUGAAGUGGUCGCAUCAUUCCGACCGAGAAGCCACCUGGGAAUGCGAGGACCACCUCCGUUCCGAAUAUCAAGAGUUCUUUCAGUCCUAG